rnacentral:lncRNA from 1 species
CUCACCAAAAAGGGUCAAACAGGAACAUAAGAAAGAUAAUCGAGUAAAAUAAGAAUGGAAGAGGUGAGGGUGAGAAAAUCAAGUAUGUGAGGCCAAGGAAGAUGGUAUUAAUGUGAUUCUGAAAAAUGGCCCAAUUUGCUGAAAAGAAGGAAGGCAUCAGUGUUUUUCAUAUAUCGUCAAUUGCUCCAACCAAAAAGGAAAAAGUCCAUUUUGCAAGUAGAAACAGGACUAGAGCCACGAGCAAAAUCACUGAAUGAUGGGGUAGUACUCUAUUUAAAUUAACAGUAGAGUAUUUCGAUGCCAAAAGACAAAAAGAGCGAUAGAAUAGCUUUUGAUAGAAUUAAAGAAGUGAAAAUGAGAGCUUACGCCAGAGAUUUUAGGUUAUCACCAGUAGAUGUCUCAAGCCAACUUCCCGGAAAAGUAUGAGAGCCUUCGCAAGUUACAUUGUCUCCACAACCGUGUAAGGUGAAGCAUUAGUAAAAGGAUGUAAAUCCAAGAACAUCUCCAUCUCUUCUUCAGUCAAGUCUAUAUCUUCUAUCAUGUUAUAAUGACCUGAUCCCCUCUUCAUGAAGUCCUCUGCUGAAAUCUGCUCAAAGGCAUCAAUAUCCGUCGGAACUGGAUCAGACAAAAAAGCUUUCUUCUUUAAAAGCUCCAUCAGAUGAGCACGGAGAAUUAAACCAUACAGAAAGGGGGACUCUGAAUGUGGAGGUUCAUCAAUUACAGGAAACCCGUGGUGCCUUGUAGGUCGCAACACAUGUACCACAUUAUCGACCUUCUCGAUGCCAUGAAACAGCUGAAGGGGCCCACUCACUACAUCACCAACUGUUAAUUGUCUCAUAUAUGGCUCGGCAUGGGUCUCAAGGUAAGGAAAAGCCCUUUGCUUUCAUGAUAAGGUCAUAGAUGUUGCCGUUGAAAGCAUCAGCUACGGUCUUUGAAAUAAGAAGAACCACCAUCAUCAAGGGUAGCAACAGCAGAUUGUUCGUCAGUUCCAAAAGGAUUACACAUAGAGAAACCGUCAUCCUCAUAGAUCCACCAAGAAAAGAAGCAGCACCCAGCACAGCAAAAAGACCAUGGUUAAGAUUGGAAUGAGAACCAAUCAACGUUCCAACCAAACGCCCAUAAGAUGCACCAGUAACUAUUACAGGAACGAAAAGGCCAGCAGGAGCGACAAUGCCAUAGCUAAGUAUACUCAAGAAAUAACAUGUGACAAAGAAUAUAAUUAUAGAAGAGUGCUGGAACUCGUCAUCCGUGCCCUUGCUAAAGAGAUUUUUGAUUGCAUCAUCAUUCGUGUUAAAUAUUAGGCUGGCAAGAUCAUUGUAAUGUCCAGGAGGACAUUGAAACUUCUUGUAGUUGCCAGAUCGGCCUAUUGUGGGACAGGCUUCUCCAGCAUCGGCCGGACAAACUCGACAAGAUGCCAGCCACGGUAGUCCAAACAGGAGACACGACGUGGAAAUUGAAAUCCAGCAAGCAAGCACAAUUUUGUAGGCAAUGCCCUUUCUGAAAGAACAAGGUCAUUGUUGUAAUCAGUUUAUUGUUACUGCAUAAUCCCAUACUUGCGAUUACUGAGGAGAAAAGGAAAGAGAACUUACUCGUUGAUGAGAUUGUAGACACGAAGAACCUUCUCCAGGAAGAAGUUAUACAAGCUACCCAACAAUCCACCUAUCAUACCAAGGAGAAGUACAGGAGGUACAUCAACAAUGUGAUAGGCAACAUUUGAUGAGGUAACGUCGUACAUUAUCAGCCCUCCUUUACCAAAAAGCCCACAUUUCCCACUCAAACAGACGUCAAUGAGAGCCCUCAGCACGAACUGUUAUUCUUACAAUACAUUAAAAAAUUUCACCAAAUCAUUUACCUUUUUUUAAUAUAUCGUCGACCGCUCCAACCACAAAGAAAAAAUCAAUUUUUCAAGUAAAGAAAGGACUAGAGGUAUCGGUGAAUGAUGGUGUAGUACUCUAUUGAGAUUGGCAGUAAAGUAUUUCAAUGCCAAAUGAUGAACAGAGCAAUAGAAUAGCUUUUGAUAGAAUUAAAUAAGUGAAAGUGAGAGCUUGCGCCCGCGAUUUUGGGUAUCACUAGCGGAUGUCUCGAGCCAACUUUCCUUUUAUUUUAUUUUUUUUCUAAAAUGGCUAACCUAGCAACCUCAGGGGAGAAUUACCAAAAAAGUUCUAAACCUAUUGUAAUUGUGCCAAUUCAGUCCUAAGCUUUUUUUUUUGUCCAAUUUAGUCCUAAACCUUUUAUAAUUGUGCCAAUUCAGUCCAUCCGGCCAAAAUUGGCCGGCCGGCGCUGACGUGGACGCCGGUGGGGGACAGCCGGCCGGCGAGGUAAUUUUUUAAUAUUUUUUAUUAUAUUUUUUAUUUUUUUCAAAUUUUUAAAUAUUUUUAAUUCUUUUUUUUUUUAGGCCUUCUUCUCCUUCCUCUGGCCGGCGUCCGGCCAGAGGUGAGGGCUGGCGAGGCUCGCCCCGCCGGCCACUGGCGGAGGCAAGCCUCGCCCAGCGACGGCAAGGUGGCCAACGUUAUAAAUGUUUUCUUGGAAUUAUGUUAAGAAGAUUAGUUGGAUCAAAUUAUUCCAAUUGCUUUUUCGGAAUCGCGUUUNNNNNNNNNNNNNNNNNNNNNNNNNNNNNNNNNNNNNNNNNNNNNNNNNNNNNNNNNNNNNNNNNNNNNNNNNNNNNNNNNNNNNNNNNNNNNNNNNNNNCUCAACGAGGAGAGCUCCUCUUCUUUGGAUGGAGCAACCAUGGGCUCCUUCCCUUUCUUUAGCUGCAGAAGAGGUUUGAUGAGAUUUGGCAGGAGUCUUCUCCUUGAAUUCUCCAACUCCUUGCUCAGUUCCUUCAGACGCAUUUUGGUCACCAUUGUCAGUCCUACCUCCCAUAUGAUCGCAUGGUCGAACACAUAAGAUUUGUCCAGGCUGAAUAUUCAGACCGGCCCUCACUUCGUGCCGAGGUCCGGCCAAGAGGAAGGAGAAGAAUCCAAAAAAAAAAAAUUUAAAAAAAAUUAAAAAUUCAGAAAAAAAUUAAAAAAAAUUAUUUAAAAAAUUUUAAAAAUUACAUUGCCGGCCGGCUGUCGCCCGCCGGCGUCCACGUCAGUGCCGGCCGGCCAAUUUUGGUUGGAUGGAAAGAAUUGCCACAAUUAUAAAAGGUUUAGGAUCAAAUUGGACAAAAAAAAAAGUUUAGGACUGAAUUGGCACAAUUGCAAUAGGUUUAGAACUUUUUUGGUAAUUCUCCCGCAACCUCAGCAGCACCUCUUUAAAAAAACAAAAAAAAAAGUAAACCAUCUCAGUUUUUUUUUUUUCAUUAACCAAAUCGGAUGGAGUUAAUAGAGAGACUUGAUUGAACUAAUUUCAUAAGUUUUAAAACUUGAUUACACUUUUGGAAAAUUUCAUAACUCGAUUGCAUUUUUGUAAUAACUUUUUGGGACUUUUGAUGCACUUUUUCCAAAAAAAAAAUAUUGAGCAUUUAGAGCUUAUAGAGGAUCAAUGAAGUAUCAAAUCAAUAACUUAAUAAAAAAUCUUAUGGACACCCAUUGGGACGAGGCAAGCUAGCACGCUCGACUUUAAACUUCGAUUCAAUGCUUGUUUUGUGAUAAACGGACCACAACCAAAUGCCUUUUAGGACAGCAAGGUGAUGAAGAUUAGAGAUGGAUGAACUCGAAGGGAGCGUGGUUUACUCAUGGAUUGGGCUGGAUAGACAUGAUUUUUGUUUGGGAAUUCAUUGUCAAUUUUUCAAUACGUUUCAUAAAAUUAGGGAUUUGAUUUUUUAAUCCUUAGCAAAAGAUAUGUGAAUUUGCAUUAUCUAACGACAUUCAUGCCUCUCACUGCAUCUAUUGCAACCAAGAAGAUUGUGCUUUUUGUUACAUUGUGGGAGAAUCGACUUGAGGAGAACAUUGAAACUUUUGACAUCAUUUUCCUCACCUUGUUUUUUCAUUUCCAAUCACACAUCAUUAACACAGUGAUUUAAAAAUAUCCACCUCAGGAUUAUUUUUAUUUCUCAGUAGCAUCAUCAAAAUCCUGAGGAGAAUGAAUUGAGUGGCGGCCUAACCAAGCAAGAACGCCAGGAAGUGUUCCUGUCGUUCGCGGUCAACGAGGAGCCCAAGGUAACAUUGCCGGCAGUCUGAGCUCUGGCGGAAAGCGGAGCGGAACAAGUACUAGGAGAAUUCCUAAUACUACUGAAGCCUUAUCAGAUGAAGUUUGCGUGCUCCUUGAGCGGAGCUACAUCGGCCUUUAAAUUGAAACCGGCAUACGCUAACAGAAAUUUCUAUUAUGUUCGAGCUUGUCCCGUACGUCCCGUCGUUGAAGGCCAGGUGGCUACUCGUUCUUCGCUCAAACUAAAUCUAUCGCACUCGGGACGUCCAUGUCAAAAUUAUAUGACAUAUUAUCUAAAAUAAUGAUUUUCACCAAGUCUUCUAAUCUAAUCUUUUACAAGUGGUCCGUCUGUUAAGUUGAAAAAUUGAUGAUUUACUAUUUCGCUCAAAGUUGAUAAAUUCCAUAUCAUGUUGGUAAAAUUCCACUAAGCUAAAAGUAAGCCACUAAUUUCACUAGUAAAAUUUUGUUUCCGGUGGCAACUUCCUAAAUAGGUUGACAAGCUUAUUAUUGAACUUUACUAGAUUUCAUACUUAAUCAUUGAAAAUUAUUUAUAAAAUUCGAAAAAAAAAUGAUGCCCUCAACUCAUGAAAAAAAAAAUGACUCAUUGAAUUUAGUCAUUUUUUAAAUAUAAUUGAUUGAUCGAUCAUUUUUUGAUGUGCAUCCCUAGCAACAUGUAAAAGUGAUUCUUAAGCUUUUAACAAUUUGCCAUUUGCUUGGCGAUUAUAUCUGUGACAUGCUGAAUUUAACUCAUUCGAGGUAUUGGCUGUUUUGGCCCAUCCUAUGCUGCACCUCAUGGUUUUGUCAUUUGGCAUACAAGUGAGUACCUUUUCAAGAGGUCACCCUUUCUCAUAGUGCCUCUACUUAAUUAGGUUUGACCUCGGAGUUCCAAAUCGCCGCUACAUCAAAAAGCGCCUCUGUGAGUUAAUUCUAGUUUUUACAUAUAUAUCCUAAAUUGCUCUAUGUCUGUUCCGCGUGGUUUACUUAUGUCCCCUUUGCUAUUCUGGAAGCCAUCAAGAGUCGUUCUUAGUCCAAGCCCUCUAGCCCUAGCAACCACUCUCCACUCUUGUUGGACCAAAUCCUUAUGUAUCCAAAUGAGCUGUAACAUCAUUGCCUGCUUCCAGUGGCAAUUGCGUUUCCUCUUGUGGAUUUUCAUGCCGUUGUUGAUGCAAAACAUGUAAAAAGUGCCAUGUGCAAGUGGAAACGUGUAUUUAAAAAUGAUAUUGUAGAUAGCUGUUUUUACCAUGAUAAGAAUUCACCAAACUUGUUCGCUGUUACAAGUUUCCAGUAAAAGUUGAGUGGCAACCUUUUUAUCAAGUUGAACUAUUUAUUUACCAACAAAAGAACGAUUCUGUUCUGAAAUGGUCAAUGAACUUGAAGUUACUAAUUUCACUCUUAAGGUACUAAUUUCACGGCUAAGUUUUCAUUUUGAGUGGUAAAUUAUAUUCUUCAUGAAGUUGGUAAGUUCCUUACUCUGCCGGUAACUUAUAAAACAAGUACUGGAAGGAAUCUUAACAUCACUGAAGCCAUGUCAGAUGAAACUUGCGUGCUCCUUGAGUGGAGCAACUUCAGCCUUAUGAAUGAAACCAGCAUUCUUUAUAGUCUUUGUAUGUGUUGCGAUUAAGGCGAGCGAUCGAACAAAAUAUAGACGGAAGAAGAAAAAUAAAUCGGACACCAGAUUUACGUGGUUCAAUCGUAAAGACCUACGUCCACAGGAAAAGCAGCAGCGAAUUUCACUAUAAAUCAAGCGAUAUAAAGAGAUUACACACUCAAGUCACUCAAACACUCUCUCGGUGUUUCCCAAACCGUAAUUUAAUCCAAACCAAAGUCACGGCACAAAAUUAUCACUCAAGCUCAAAACAAACGCUGAAAAAGAACUCAUUUUCUUGAUCGCGCUUCAACUUGAAGACAUGCGACUCCUCCUUUUCUCUCGUACGGGUGCAGCAGCAACACCUCGAAAAGAAGACCUCUUUCGCGGCUCCCUUCUGUGAUUUCUACAUAGGGUUUCGGCACACGCACACUCCAAGGAAGGAAACUUGUAUUCUUUCUUAUAUAAAUGUGCCCAAAGUCAAACUUUGACUCUGGGCCCCACACCAAUUGAUUCCUUUCUCGAGUGACGUCUUGGACGUUGCUUCCUUCGAAGCUUUUGUUUUUCAUGUGUGUCCAAAAGUGGGCCCCACGAAGAUCACUUCCUUCGGCGCUUAUGCAGGCUUCUGUUGUUCUCUUUUUUUUUUUUCUUUUAUUCUAUUACUUCCUAUUUUGUAAAUCUUCAACGAGUUCAACGAAUCUCAAACUCGAGUCAUAAAUUAACAAUCUCCACCUUGACUCGACGUUUGAGUCAAGUUACAAUCGAUUCACAAAAAAUUCAAACUCUACUGCUACUUUCCCAUAGCCCCCGAUGGACUUAACCGCCACAGAUAUUAUCCAAGUCCAAGCUUCGCUUGAACUUUGUCAUAACUGAGGACCUCAUCAGAAUACCAACUCCAUAUGAACAUUUAACUGCUCCGCAAUUAUUUUCUAACACAACCUCCUUAACCGCAAAUAAAGCAAAAUCAUUGUUGCAUCUAUAUCUAUCAGGAGAUCGAAUACGUAUCUUGUUAAUUUCAGCAGUUACAGCAAUCGUUGGCUCUAUAAGCUCCACCUCGCUACAAACACCAUAUGUGUUGAUUACUUUGCUAGUACCUGUAUACGCUACCUCAGGAGUUUCUGGUCGCAACUCCACCUCAAGCUGAACACCGUCUAGAUCCGUAUUAAUACUGCCACAAACACUCCUAGCCAGAAGUAUUGGAGACUUGUCAAUGGUAACUUCUCUACUGUUAACAGGUGAAUGUAUAUCUGGGCACCACAACAGAUCACCCCGCUCACCUUGUGCAUAGCCAUGGAAUAUGCACCUUGCCCUCCCAUCGAGUUUACCAUCACUCACUCGAAAAUAAUAUGGGCAACCAAACAUUCUAAGAAUAGAAUAAUUAGCAACGUUACCUGACAACAUUUCUUCAGGAGUCUGUCAUUCAAUAGCAGUUGAUGGGAAUCUAUUCACUAGGCAGUUUACCGUACUUAGCAUACCAGCUAGGAUUCUCCUAGCAAUACCACCACUAGAGAUAAUUUUUCGGGCCGUCUCUAGUAAUGUUCUGCUCAUCAAUUCUAUAAAUUAUUGUGAUUUACUAGCACUAGUGCGGUGUUUCACUAUGCCCUCUUUCAUGCAAAAUUUAUUUGCCAGCUCCAAGUAAAACUCCAUGCUAUUGUCAGUCCGCACAUGCUUGAUCGACUUACCAAUCUCCGUCUCGAUCAAAGCUCUUGACUGCGAGAUCCUGACACCAACAUCAAACUUGUGCCUUGGCACAAACACCUAGGUCUUCCUCAAGCAAUCAAAAGACUCUGGAACAGAUGCAUCCGACGUCUCCGGGGCGAAACCUGUCAUUGUCUCACGUUGAAGUUUAUACAGGCCAUCGUGCUUGAUUCCUUUCAUUAUCACCAGGCACCUCGAACAACCUUCAGAAUUCCACCUUUUGAAGAAUACCUGCAACCAGCUGAAUCUAGGACACCCAAAGAAAUUAAGUUCUUUUUUCAAUUCUGGAAUAUGCCUCACUCCAGUCAAUGUCCUCACGAUACCAUCAUGCAUUUUGAUUUUAACAUCACCAACACCCACAACAUCGCACUCAACAUUGUUCCAUAACUAGACUUUACCAUUACCCGUGCACUGAUAAGUGAUAAACCAGUUUCUAUUUGGUGUGACACGAAAGGAACAACCAGAAUCCAUAAUCCUUCCAUUAAGCGAUGAAUCAUUAGUGACAGACAAGACAUAAUCGGUAUUAUCUGCUACAGCUGCAACAUUAUCUGCAGAAUCAAUCAUAAUUCCCUUACCCUUCUCAUUCUUCAGCUUAAGGCAAUCUCUUCUAAGAUGCCCCCUAUUGCCACAGCUCCAACAGACAACAUUAGUAGUCCUAGAUUGACCACGUCUGUUCAUAUUAGUACUACCAUUACCCAUACGUGUUACAGAUCUUCCUCUAUUUUCACCUACUAGAGCAGUAGAUACAGAUUCGCCAGAUUCGCCAGAUUCUCUUCUACGAAUGUCCUCGCUCAGAACCAAAUCUUGAACCCCAUUAAACGUCAAAGUUGUUGACCCAGAGGAAUUACUAACAGCAGUAACGGUAGUAUUCCAACUAUCGGGCAAUGAGGAUAAUAGAAUCAAAGCACGUACCUCAUCUUCAAAAUCAAUCUCAACUUAACUCAAUUGACUAAUAAUCACAUUGAAUUCAUUGAUAUGAUCUAAAACUGACGCACCUUCUUUCAUCUUCAAGUUAAACAGACGUCGCAUCAAACAGACCUUGUUAAUCGCAGAGGGCUUCUCAUACAUAUCCGACAGGGCUUGCAUCAAAACAACAAUGAUCUUUUUCUUCAGGAUAUUAAACGCGACGUUACGAGCCAACGUCAGCCGAAUAACACCCAUAGCUCGUCUAUCCAGCAAAUCUCAAUCAGCUUGCUUCAUCGUCUCUGGUUUCUCCCCAAAUAAAGGCAAGUGCAUAUUCAUCUGGUAAAGAUAAUCUUCAAUCUGCAUCUUCCAGAAACUAAAAUCCUUCCCAUCAAAUCUGUUGAUUCUCACUUUUACUUAUUAUGUCGCCAUCGAUUCGCUUCAACUUAGCCAAGCCUAGCUUUGAUACCACUUGUUGCAAUUAAGGCGAGCGAUCGAACAAAAUAUAGACGGAAGAAGAAAAAUAAAUCGGACACCAGAUUUACGUGGUUCAGUCGUAAAGACCUACGUCCACAGGAAGAGCAACAACGAAUUUCACUAUAAAUCAAGCGAUAUAAGAAGAUUACACACUCAAGUCACUCAAACACUCUCUCGGUAUUUUCCAAACCGUAAUUUAAUCCAAACCCAAGUCACGGCACAAAAUUAUCACUCAAGCUCAAAACAAACGCUGAAAAAGAACUAAUUUUCUUGAUCGCGCUUCAACUUGAAGACAUGCGGCUCCUCCUUUUCUCUCGUACGGGUGCGGCAGCAACACCUCGAAAAGAAGACCUCUUUCGCGGCUCCCUACUGUGAUUUCUACAUAGGGUUUCGGCACACGCACACUCCAAGGAAGGAAACUUAUAUUCUUUCUUAUAUAAAUGUGCCCAAAGUCAAACUUUGACUCUGAGCCCCACGCCAAUUGAUUCCUUUCUCCAGUGACGUCUUGGACGUUGCUUCCUUCGAAGCUUUUGUUUUUCAUGUGUGUCCAAAAGUGGGCCCCACGAAGAUCACUUCCUACGGUGCUUAUGCAGGCUUCUGUUGUUCUCUUUUUUUUUUCUUUUAUUCUAUUAUUUCCUAUUUUGUAAAUCUUCAACGAGUUCAACGAAUCUCAAACUCGAGUUAUAAAUUAACAGUAUGCUCCCGGAGUCUUUCCCAUGGUUCGUUUGAACCAAAUUGUGGACAGAUUUUGCCCAUGUCAACACAUAUAUCUAGUCUUAUAAUAGUAUUACUUCUUUUUGUUUCUUUUUUCUUGAAGUAUCUUAUUAGUUAUAUUUUUAUAUUCAGCAAAGUUUGUUGGAAAAUCAACUUUGAAAUUGGGUAAAACAAUGAUGUGAGAUUUUGAGAUAUGAUAUCAAUUUCUUAAGGAUUUAUUUGCUCCCAUAAAGUUGCUAAUAUUCAACGGCAAAUUUCCUCCAAGAUACAACAAAGUCUCAGUGAGAAUAUUAGAUAACAAUUCUAAUAUUUCUCUUAAUCUCUCAAGGAAAAUAAUUCACAAAGAUGGUUGUAGUUUUUGGAAAGAAGACCUGGAAAAAAAAAUUAGCGAACCGUUUUCUCAAAACCUGACAUAUUUAUGUUGGUCUUAUUGAACAAAGACAUACCUUCGGAAAAAAUUGCAAAAUAAACUAAUACGAUUGCAAAAGACCACUCAAGAAAGGUUGCUAAUUGAACUUGUAUGUUUUCCAAACGACAACUUGAAAAGAUAUAAAAAUUCGGAAUAAAAAAUAAUAAUAAUAAUUUUUUAUAACAAAAUUCAGAAUUUAAUAAUUUCGAAAAAAUUUGUAGUUUUUGGAAAGAAGACCUGAAAAAAAAAAAAAAUUAGCGAACCGUUUUCUCAAAACCUGACAUAUUUGUGUUGGUCUUAUUGAACAAAGACAUACCUUCAGGGGAAAUUGCAAAAUGAACUAGUACGAUUGCAAAGGACCAUUCGGGAAAGGUUGCUAAUUGAAUUGGUAUGUUUUCCAAACAACAACUUGAAAAGAUAUAAAAAUUUCGGAAUAAUAAAUAAUAAUAAUUUUUUAUAACAAAAUUCAGAAUUUAAUAAUUUCGAAAAGAAAGCUGAAAAAAUAAAUACAACGUUUUGAUUAACAAGAUAACCUUAUGGAAUAAAAUAAAAUAAAAUAAAUAAUAGUGGAUUAGGGCUAAUUAAAAUGCGAGCGCACAAGCAAGUCAAGUGCGCCUAAUAAUUGCGCAAUCUUUUGUGCAGCAUGCGGGUAUUAUGAGGUGUGGCUCACGCCUCAUUGCUGUUUCUAAAUAAGCUAGAAAAACUCACACAUUAAGUGGUCUAUCUCCUCCUAACUUUUCUAUGUGGGACAAAGAAGAAAAGCAUUCUUGUUUGUUUUGCAAACCAACACCCAACAAAGUUUACAAAAAAUUAUAUUAUAAUAGUAUCGUUGAUAUUAAAUUUUUCUGAUGGUUAUAUCUUUAUAAAUUUAAUUCUCUUUUUUCUCCUUUUUUUUUUAUAUAAGUCAGUGGUGAAAGAAAACUUUCAAAUUUAGAAAACGGCGAGGCUACACCACAAGCUUGCGGGGACCCUCAUAUUUUUGAACGAACAGCAAGAAUUUGGAAGACUUUGACCAAACGUCAAACAAGUUAAGUUGGAGACCUUAUGAGUUAUGGAGAAGAAGGCAAGGCUCGUAGUUGAUUCAAUACCUACCAAUUACUAAGUUACUUCGUGCAAAUUGAAUGUUUCAAUAGUAAUCAUAGAUAUGCUCGGACGUACCAGGAAAUUUGCUUGGUCAUCCUGCAUCAGGCAUGCACUCAAUGGAUGCAGACCGUGGUCCGUGGCGUUGUGGUGAUUCAAUGCUUAAAAUGAGACGAGUCUUUGUGCAACUUGGAAAGAAAUGGUUGCCACAAUGAUGAAUGAACAUAAUUCUAAAAAUAUUCUACUGAAGUUUGCUUAUAGUACUUUCAGGUUUUGAAAUACUUGUCUGUUUGACUAAAUGGAGGGACGUAACGAUAUUGUAUUCUCAUGUACUUAACAACAUCAAGCAAAACUUACUGCAUCUAAAAGUAAUUUGAUUAACAUUAUAACUCAAUUGCACUUCUACAAUAAGUUUAGGACUUUUAUUAUGCUUAUCAUAUAAAUAAAAAAAAAUAUAGAGCAUUUAGAGCUUAUGAAUGAUCAAUGAAAUAUCAAGUCAACAAAAUUUAAAAAAAAAAAAAAUCAUAUUGAACUAAUAAAGGAGCUUGAAACUGGAGGUACUAGGACUUCAACAACUCCUUCCAACAUCUGAGUGAUUUUCUUCAUGGUUGGCCUCAAAGCAGGGUCAUCUUGGAUGCACCAUAAUGCUGUCAUCACAAAUCUUUUCACCCUCUUUAUGUCAGUUGAUGCCUCCUCAUCGCUCUCCACUAGCUUAAGUAUGCUCCCGUCAUGGUAGCAGUCAUACACCCAGUCGACUAGCACAAUUUGAGCUUCAAUUUCCGCUUCCGGCUCAUAGUUCUUUCUACAGCAGAUCAGCUCGACCAACAAAAUGCCGAAGCUGUAAACGUCUACCUUGCUAGAAAUAGGCAUAUUCCUGAACCAUUCUGGUGCUAAAUAACCUCUGGUUCCUCUAACUCCAGUGACGGUUCGUGUUUGGUUCGCCAUCAAGAGCUUAGCUAUUCCGAAAUCUGAUAUUUUUGCAGUGAGAGAUCCAUCAAGAAGAAUAUUUUCAGGCUUGAUGUCGCAGUGGAUUAUAUGCCUAGUGCAAUCAUCAUGCAAGUAAGAGAGCCCCUGUGCAACACCACAAGCAAUUUCUAUUCUUUUGUACCAGCUGGGCCUUGAAAUGCCAAAUAGAAAAUCCGCCAAAGUGCCGUUGCUCAUGAAUUCAUACACCAGUAGUCGAUGUUGACCUUCAUUGCAGAAUCCAAGCAACUGUACUAAGUUCUUGUGGUUAGUUUGGCCAAUUGCACUCACUUCUCUUUCAAACUCCUUUUCGCUUUCUCCGGUCCUUGUUGCCAGCACUUUUACUGCCACAAAGUUUGUAUCCUCAUAUCUGAGAACACCUUUGUACACUGUUCCAAAAGCACCCCUACCUAGUUCUUCUUUAAAUCCAUCCGUUGCUUCUUGAAGCUCCUGAUAAGUGAAAGUAUGCGUGCCUGUGGCUUGGUUGAUCUGGACCGGUCGUGACAACUUAGAAUCCCUAGAUCGGAAGCUUCUAUAUAUUAAAUAGGUAAUGAGGAGUAGAAGCAAGUUCACAAACACAGAGCUACUCAACAGCACCAAUCCGAUGAUAAUCAGAGUGGAAUUCUUGCUUCCAUUUCCUAUAGAUUUUGAAGUCGAGUCAUUUAUCCUGACCUUGAUCAGAGCUUUUGCAAUAUCACUACGAUCCUCUCUUCCAUUGGAAAGAGGGAUCUUCUUUUUCCAGCAAUUUCCAUUGUCGCCGAAAAUAGCAAGUGCACAAAAACAAUCAGCCAAACAAGCCUCUUUGCAACUGUCCUCGGUUUGCGCCGCGGUACGCUCGUAAUCAGACAUUGGCCAAUUUGUAUAAGGCAUGCUAAAGAAAGUGAACUGGUCUGUUUCAGGCCUACUUCCAUCACAACUCUGCGGUACGAAGUCCUGUCUGCAUCCGUUCAUCUCGUUUGUUGAAUCUAACAGAGUAUACCCGUGUGGGCAGUGGCAUCGGGGCCUCUGAUCUUCUUCAAGAGAACAAUAGCUGUUGAAGCCACAAGCUCCAGAACCCAUAGUUUGCGUGAUGCUUGUGCAUAUAUUUGGAGGGACUGGGGAAGAACGGGCCACCACCCAGCCCAUUUCCGAGAGAGAACUUGAAUCAGAGUGGACGUAUUGCCUGAAGACCCCGUCGAAUUCAAGGAUUGCUCUUCGGUAAUAUCCGCUGGCAGGGAAUGUGUCUGAGGAGACGACUUGGAGCAGUGCUCCAUUCCUAUCCGUGAGGUAGACCUGACCACUUUGAUUGAAUAUCAAUCGGAAGCCGUUGCUCGUGUUGCUAUCCCAGUAAGUAUCUGAGGCAACCCACGGGUCAGGAGUAGCAUAGAAUGCGAGAUUUCCGUCGUCUCCCAGCUUGAAGUGGAAUCUCCCGGCGGAGUAAUUCAUUUCGGAGUAGCGAGCGUUAACUUUAGUCCCUUGAUCUAACUGUUGCGUAGGCAGCAACGUGUCGGUUGGUUGGCUGAACGUCUCCCACAAGUUGACAUGGUUCUGGCUAACUAGGACAAAGUUCCCCGUGUCAAGCAUGGCCGCAUAUGCUAUACCAGCGACAGUCGGGCUAGGAGACCACAACUCUCUUCCAUUUGGGUCGACGAGCACAAAUCGGCCAUCCGUGGUCAACUGGAUUUCUGAACCUUCUGGCGCUAGAUUAUUGCCGUUCGCCGACCAGACUAUGGUCUUGUCCUCUAUCUUCUCAAACCAUAUAGCCAACAAAUGAGCUCCUCUUCCCAUUCUCCGGAACCCGAAGGCGAACUUGCCCGACGGUGACAACCAGGAAGAGUUCUGGUCGUUCGCCGUCAAUGACUUGCCCAAGGUCAAGUUGCCGCUGGUCUGAGCUUCGGUGGAAAGGGGAAGUGGAACGAGUAUUAGAAGGAUUCCUAGUAUAACUGAAGCCAUGUUUGAUGAAACUGGCGUUCUCCUUGAGUCGAGCUACUUCCGCCCUAAGGAUGAAACCAGCGUUCUUAUAGAGAUUCCCUACUUUCCAAGCUACCAGAGUCUCUCUCGUACGUCCGGUCGCUCAUGGCAGGUGAGAGAGGCGACCAUUCCUCCUCCGCGUCGAUGCGAUUGCUUCUCCUUUUCUCCAAAGCAAGUUUGAACCAAAGUUGUGCACAGCCUUUGCACAUGUCAACGCAUAUAUCUAUCACUAUCUUUGACCCCAAAAAAAAAAACACAUAUUUCUAUCUAGAAUAAUGAUUUUACCAUAUGGUCUGAAAUUUUAUAAAGCUCCACCUGUAGUAAAAGGAAAUGAUUAAUUAAAAUAGAAGGUGAUAUUUGUACAUAUAUUUUAUUAGUCAAUCUUUUUCUUGUAAAUAAACCAUUUAUUUAACAGCUAUUAAUAAACCAUUUUAGAGUAUAUAAUGAGUUCCUUGAUUUUGUUUCUUUUUUCUUGAAGUAUCUUAUUAGUUCUAUUGAUAUAUUCAUCAAAUUUUCUUAAAAAAUUCUUAUAAUAAUAUCAUCGAUAUUAAUUUUUCUGAUAAUAAUAUCUCUAUGAAUUUAUCUUUCUUCAUUUUCUUCAUUUUUUCCCUAUUUUUUUAUUUUUUAUAGAAAUCAAUGGUGAAAGAGACUUAUCAAAUUUAGAAUAAGGCGACCCUGCUCCAAAUGCUUGGCGGGACCUUGAUACUUUUCAAAGCACGCACUUGGAAAAAUUCGACCAAACUUCAUCGUACACGUUUAGUUGGAGACUUUUUAAGAUAAAAUUGAUGGAAAAAGAACGCAGGGCCGGCAGUCUAUUCAAUCCCCAUGAAUUCAAACCGACUACAAGUUGAUCCGCGGAAAUUGAAUAUGCUCGAAAGCAAAUGGAAAUUUGCAUUGAGCACGUGACCUAUCAAUGCUUACGGCAGCGGCAUUCUGCGGUCUUGUGCAACUUGGAGAAGAAUGAUUACAACAAUGAUGAACGAACAUGAUUCAGCAGACACUCUCCAAAAGUUUGCACCCAGGAAUUCCGAAUUUUGAAACCGAUACGUUGAGCUAAAUGGAUGUCACGGUGACAUAAAGAUAUCAUGCUCGUGGAGUUGACGACAUCAUGGAAUACUUACCACAUCUAAAAGCAAUUUGGUUUCCAUCUAGUAUAAGUGAUCAGUUCACAAAAGGGGGAGUGUUCCUUUAUAUAAAUUACUGCAUAAGAGGUAACUAUCUACAGUUUUCUGCACAUCUUUGAUCUUACUGUCAAGAGUCCUCUGCAACUUCAGCAUAUCAGACUAUCAGUCACAGCAGAAGUAUUCCCGCACCACCGUGAUAAUGCCAGCCAAAACUUCCUGUUUAUAUUCGUCCCACAAAAAAAUUACAACCCGCCGCUUUCGACAAUGCUCGACUAGUAAAGCGAAGGGCUAAUUUUCCAGGGUUUGUAGGGUUCGAUCAAGGGCCUGAGCUUAUAAUGAGCAGCUUCCAAUAAGCUCCGUGCUGCAUGAAUCCCAAAAAAUCUGGCCUGAUCGAGUAGGAAUUUUCCUGGAUAAAUUCCCGAAUGCUCAAUGGGCUAUGCUAGAAUAGUUUUAAUAGGCGGGGAAACUGUAGUCUUAAUCUCUUCCAUCUGCUCCUAAUGAGUGUCGGGUGCAAUGCCAACACGUGCUCAGGCAUAAAAUCAUGUCUUGUCAAUAUGCCCACCACAGGCGAUCUCUGCAAUAACAGAGCGUCGAGAUUAAAAUAAAAACAUAGAAGAACAUGUUCAACUAGAGCAGAAUGCUAUUGCAAUAAUUAAGCACCCAGUUGCAUUGAAGUAUCGCACCAAAUACCCGCAAGAGACGAGAUGAAAAAUCAAUUGUGAUCCCUCACCAUGAUCUACUCUGAUUUUCGAUGCGAAACUAGGAAGCCACCAUAUGUCAAGUAGCCAUAUAUACAGAAAUUCAGCUAAACGGAGAGGAAAACAUCUUAGCGCAAAGCUGAGCUAGUGAAGCUACAGAAGUAUUUGGCAGUCCUCACAAAAAGGGUCAAACUUGAACAUAAGAAAGAUAAUCGAGUAAAAUAAGAAUGGAAGAGGUGAGGGUGCGAAAAUCAAGUAUGUGAGGCCAAAGGAAGAUGGUAUUGAUGUGAUUCUGAAAAAUGGCCCAAUUUGCUGAAAAGAAGGAAGGCAUCAGUGUUUUUCAUAUAUCGUCAAUUGCUCCAACCAAAAAGAAAAAGUCCAUUUUGCAAGUAGACCCAGGACUAGAGCUAUGAGCAAGAUCACUGAACAAUUAUGUAGUACUCUAUUUAAAUUAAC